ACAAUCAUUACUUUCUCUCAACUAUUCAUUAUUUUUUCAUACAUUUUAUCAUAAUUCAACAAUCAUUACAACUUAAUUAAAUAUAUAUGUAAAGUUAGAAUAGAGCUGAACUUAACUCAACUCUAAUCUCAAACAAGGCAUUAGUAUUCCGAUCACCCAUUGGAUCCAUUCGCUCCGUGACUUUUGAAACCAAAAUAUCUCCUCUUGUGCCAAAGUUUCCUCCAACUCAUCGGUGAGACGAGCUUCCAGUCGUCGAAGAAAUCAGAAAGGCCGUUCAUAACAGCGUCCGGAAAAAUGGCCAGGUUCGCUGGAAGAUUCAUACUAGACGCCCAUAUAGACUCAAGCAAUCGAGGGAAAUCUGAAAGGGAAUGCCAGGCAGCUAGAAAACGAAAAGGUCGCUGCACUCUACGAGUAUCGCCAAAGCCCAAAGUGUUCAGAAGUAGUGGAUGAUGGUCAGAUUUGAUUCGAGCCAACACCUUAAUUGCAGCCUCCGGGAAGGCCGUCCACUAAGCUGCAUUACAGCCGGCUCGAUCAAGGCGUUCGAAAACGCGUUCACGUCCAGUGAAUUGACGAUCCUGCCACGUGAAGCGUGGACCACAGCUGCCCAUGUCCAUCAAACCGCACGUCUCAAGAGCUGCCCGAAAACGGAGUGCACGUGUUGGAUUGAAGGGAGCUCCACCUUGUUUCUCCGUAGGAUCCACAAUUUCAUUAAAGUCUCCAAUGAUGAACCAAGGACCAACUAUCUGUGAGGCGAGUGAUUCAAGAAACCCCCAUAAUUCACGUCGACGAACCUCAUUAGGACUUUUCGUAUACCGCGGUCAGAAACCAACAAUUUUGUCCAAUCCCAACUUUCAAUUGAAUGGCCUG